rnacentral:tRNA from 1 species
GCUCCCGUCAUCUAGUGGUCAGGAUCUCCGUCUUUCAAGCGGAAGGUGUCGGUUCGAUUCCGACCGGGAGUACCA